CGGGGGAGGCCGGAUCCUGGGCUGUGUCCCGGCGCCCUGUGCUCUGGGUCUGCGCUGUUGGAUUCACGCUCCCGCCCCGCAGCCCCCC
rnacentral:pre_miRNA from 1 species